rnacentral:rRNA from 1 species
AGAGUUUGAUCAUGGCUCAGAGCGAACGCUGGCGGCGUACUUAACACAUGCAAGUCGAACGGGGAUCAUCGGUGUAGCAAUACAUUGCUGGUCCUAGUGGCGCACGGGUGAGUAACACGUGGGUAACCUGCCCUUGAGUUCGGGAUACCCCCUCGAAAGGGGGGCUAAUACCGGAUACGUUCCUCGGAUCGACAGGUCUGGGGAGGAAAGGUGGCGCAAGCUGCCGCUCUUGGAGGGGCUCGCGGCCUAUCAGCUAGUUGGCGGGGUAACGGCCCACCAAGGCUAUGACGGGUAGCUGGUCUGAGAGGACGACCAGUCACACGGGGACUGAGACACGGCCCCGACUCCUACGGGAGGCAGCAGUGGGGAAUUUUCCGCAAUGGGCGAAAGCCUGACGGAGUGACGCCGCGUGUGGGACGAAGGCCUUCGGGUCGUAAACCACUGUCAGUGGGAAAGAAGGGUGUCGGCGCUAAUACCGCCGGCACUUGACGGUACCUGCAGAGGAAGCCCCGGCCAACUCUGUGCCAGCAGCCGCGGUAAGACAGAGGGGGCAAGCGUUGCUCGGAAUUACUGGGCGUAAAGGGCGCGUAGGCGGGAUGGCAAGUCGGUCGUGAAAUCCUUCGGCUCAACCGAAGAACGUCGAUCGAUACUGCUGUUCUUGAGGAUUGCAGAGGAGACUGGAAUUCCCGGUGUAGCGGUGAAAUGUGUAGAGAUCGGGAGGAACACCGGUGGCGAAGGCGGGUCUCUGGGCAAUUCCUGACGCUGAGGCGCGAAAGCGUGGGGAGCAAACGGGAUUAGAUACCCCGGUAGUCCACGCUGUAAACGAUGACGACUAGGUGUGGGGGGGUUCAGUCCCUUCCGUGCCGCAGCUAACGCAUUAAGUCGUCCGCCUGGGGAGUACGGCCGCAAGGUUGAAACUCAAAGGAAUUGACGGGGGCCCGCACAAGCGGUGGGAGCAUGUGGUUCAAUUCGAUGC